UUUUUUAUAGUUAAAUGAUUUUCUUUUUUUAAAUUUCAAAGCUAGAGCUUGAGUAAAUAAAUCACUAUUAAAUAUAAUAGAUUUUAGAUUUAUUAUAUUAUAUUCUAUUUUUUUACCUAAAAUCUUAUUUAAUAAUAAACUUAAUUUAUUUAAUAAAGUUAAUUUAUUAAAUUUUAAUUGAUUUAAUGAAUAUAAUAAUUCAUAUUUUCUUAAAAAGAUUAAAUGUCUUUUAAGAAAA
rnacentral:tRNA from 1 species